rfam:Gossypium hirsutum cultivar TM-1 chromosome 21, whole genome shotgun sequence
UGUUAAAAAUUUCAGUCAUUUUUAUUAUUAAGAACUGAAAUGACUAAUUGAAUAAAUCAAAGUGACAUGUAGUAUACCAUGUGUACUUUCUGUUGAUGUAUAGAGACCAUUUUUUCUAGUAGAAAUGGAUGGAUUUUUUAACA